UACGCAGGGGGCGAGCGUUGUCCGGAAUCAUUGGGCGUAAAGCGCGUGUAGGCGGCCCGGUAAGUCCGCUGUGAAAGUCCAGGGCUCAACCCUGGGAUGCCGGUGGAUACUGUCGGGCUCGAGUCCGGAAGAGGCGAGUGGAAUUCCUGGUGUAGCGGUGAAAUGCGCAGAUAUCAGGAGGAACACCAAUGGCGAAGGCAGCUCGCUGGGACGUGACUGACGCUGAGACGCGAAAGCGUGGGGAGCAAACAGG
rnacentral:rRNA from 1 species